GACGAACGCUGGCGGCGUGCUUAACACAUGCAAGUCGAACGGUGACCCUCGGAGCUUGCUUCGGGGUGAGCAGUGGCGAACGGGUGAGUAACACGUGAGUAACCUGCCCCUGACUCUGGAAUAAGCGCUGGAAACGGCGUCUAAUACCGGAUACGACACGCCUCCGCAUGGGGAGCGUGUGGAAAGUUUUUCGGUCUGGGAUGGACUCGCGGCCUAUCAGCUUGUUGGUGAGGUAAUGGCUCACCAAGGCGAUGACGGGUAGCCGGCCUGAGAGGGCGACCGGCCACACUGGGACUGAGACACGGCCCAGACUCCUGCGGGAGGCAGCAGUGGGGAAUAUUGCACAAUGGGCGAAAGCCUGAUGCAGCGACGCCGCGUGAGGGAUGACGGCCUUCGGGUCGUAAACCUCUUUCAGCAGGGAAGAAGCGAAAGUGACGGUACCUGCAGAAGAAGCACCGGCUAACUACGUGCCAGCAGCCGCAGUAAAAC
rnacentral:rRNA from 1 species